rnacentral:rRNA from 1 species
UACGGAAGGCAGCAGUGGGGAAUAUUGCACAAUGGGCGCAAGCCUGAUGCAGCCAUGCCGCGUGUAUGAAGAAGGCCUUCGGGUUGUAAAGUACUUUCAGUCGUGAGGAAGGUGUUAAGGUUAAUAACCUUAGCAAUUGACGUUAGCGACAGAAGAAGCACCGGCUAACUCCGUGCCAGCAGCCGCGGUAAUACGGAGGGUGCGAGCGUUAAUCGGAAUUACUGGGCGUAAAGGGCACGCAGGCGGUUAAUUAAGUUGGAUGUGAAAUCCCCGGGCUUAACCUGGGAAUGGCAUUCAAGACUGGUUAGCUAGAGUCUUGUAGAGGGGGUAGAAUUCCAUGUGUAGCGGUGAAAUGCGUAGAGAUGUGGAGGAAUACCGGUGGCGAAGGCGGCCCCUGGGACAAAGACUGACGCUCAUGUGCGAAAAGCGUGGGGAGCAAAC